rfam:Ictidomys tridecemlineatus contig003549, whole genome shotgun sequence.
AAAGAGGCCUUCCUCAAGGCCACACACAGCAAACUAGAGGCAGGAU